rnacentral:rRNA from 1 species
AUUGAACGCUGGCGGCAUGCUUUACACAUGCAAGUCGGACGGCAGCACAGAGAAGCUUGCUUCUUGGGUGGCGAGUGGCGAACGGGUGAGUAACAUAUCGGAACGUACCGAGUAAUGGGGGAUAACUAAUCGAAAGAUUAGCUAAUACCGCAUAUUCUCUGAGGAGGAAAGCAGGGGACCUUCGGGCCUUGCGUUAUUCGAGCGGCCGAUAUCUGAUUAGCUAGUUGGUGGGGUAAAGGCCUACCAAGGCGACGAUCAGUAGCGGGUCUGAGAGGAUGAUCCGCCACACUGGGACUGAGACACGGCCCAGACUCCUACGGGAGGCAGCAGUGGGGAAUUUUGGACAAUGGGCGCAAGCCUGAUCCAGCCAUGCCGCGUGCCUGAAGAAGGCCUUCGGGUUGUAAAGGACUUUUGUCAGGGAAGAAAAGGACAGGGUUAAUACCUCUGUUUGAUGACGGUACCUGAAGAAUAAGCACCGGCUAACUACGUGCCAGCAGCCGCGGUAAUACGUAGGGUGCGAGCGUUAAUCGGAAUUACUGGGCGUAAAGCGAGCGCAGACGGUUACUUAAGCAGGAUGUGAAAUCCCCGGGCUCAACCUGGGAACUGCGUUCUGAACUGGGUGACUAGAGUGUGUCAGAGGGAGGUAGAAUUCCACGUGUAGCAGUGAAAUGCGUAGAGAUGUGGAGGAAUACCGAUGGCGAAGGCAGCCUCCUGGGAUAACACUGACGUUCAUGCUCGAAAGCGUGGGUAGCAAACAGG